CCUGGCUCAGGACGAACGCUGGCGGCGAGCCUAAUACAUGCAAGUCGAACGCUUCUUUUUCCACCGGAGCUUGCCCCACCGGAAAAAGAGGAGUGGCGAACGGGUGAGUAACACGUGGGUAACCUGCCCAUCAGAAGGGGAUAACACUUGGAAACAGGUGCUAAUACCGGAUAACAAUCGAAACCGCAUGGUUUUGAUUUGAAAGGCGCUUUCGGGUGUCGCUGAUGGAUGGACCCGCGGUGCAUUAACUAGUUGGUGAGGUAACGGCUCACCAAGGCCACGAUGCAUAGCCGACCUGAGAGGGUGAUCGGCCACAUUGGGACUGAGACUCGGCCCAAACUCCUACGGGAGGCAGCAGUAGGGAAUCUUCGGCAAUGGACGAAACCAUGACCGAGCAACGCCGCGUGAGUG
rnacentral:rRNA from 1 species